GGGCACUUAGCUCAGUUGGGAGAGCGCCUGCCUUACAAGCAGGUGGUCGGGGGUUCAAGUCCCUCAGUGCCCACCA
rnacentral:tRNA from 1 species